GACGAACGCUGGCGGCGUGCUUAACACAUGCAAGUCGAACGAUGAAGCCUAGCUUGCUAGGUGGAUUAGUGGCGAACGGGUGAGUAAUACGUGAGUAACCUACCUUUAACUCUGGGAUAAGCCUGGGAAACUGGGUCUAAUACCGGAUACGACCAAUCUCCGCAUGGGGUGUUGGUGGAAAGCGUUAUGUAGUGGUUAUAGAUGGGCUCACGGCCUAUCAGCUUGUUGGUGAGGUAACGGCUCACCAAGGCGACGACGGGUAGCCGGCCUGAGAGGGUGACCGGCCACACUGGGACUGAGACACGGCCCAGACUCCUACGGGAGGCAGCAGUGGGGAAUAUUGCACAAUGGGCGCAAGCCUGAUGCAGCGACGCCGCGUGAGGGAUGACGGCCUUCGGGUUGUAAACCUCUGUUAGCAGGGAAGAAGAGAGAUUGACGGUACCUGCAGAGAAAGCGCCGGCUAACUACGUGCCAGCAGCCGCGGUAAUACGUAGGGCGCGAGCGUUGUCCGGAAUUAUUGGGCGUAAAGAGCUUGUAGGCGGUUUGUCGCGUCUGCUGUGAAAGGCCGGAGCUUAACUCCGUGUAUUGCAGUGGGUACGGGCAGACUAGAGUGCAGCAGGGGAGACUGGAAUUCCUGGUGUAGCGGUGGAAUGCGCAGAUAUCAGGAGGAACACCGAUGGCGAAGGCAGGUCUCUGGGCUGUAACUGACGCUGAGAAGCGAAAGCAUGGGUAGCAAACAGG
rnacentral:rRNA from 1 species